GCACUCUAAGGAGACUGCCGGUGACAAACCGGAGGAAGGUGGGGAUGACGUCAAGUCCUCAUGGCCCUUAUGGGUAGGGCUUCACACGUCAUACAAUGGUCGGAACAGAGGGUUGCCAACCCGCGAGGGGGAGCUAAUCCCAGAAAACCGAUCGUAGUCCGGAUUGCACUCUGCAACUCGAGUGCAUGAAGCUGGAAUCGCUAGUAAUCGCGGAUCAGCAUGCCGCGGUGAAUACGUUCCCGGGUCUUGUACACACCGCCCGUCACACCAUGGGAGUGGGUUUUACCAGAAGUGGCUAGUCUAACCGCAAGGAGGACGGUCACCACGGUAGGAUUCAUGACUGGGGUGAAGUCGUAACAAGGUAGCCGUAUCGGAAGGUGCGGCUGGAUCACCUCCUUU
rnacentral:ncRNA from 1 species